AAAAAAAAAUAACCUGCCCUUGACUUUUGGAUAACUUCAGGAAACUGGGGCUAAUACCGUAUAUGAGCUCCUGCUGCAUGUUGGGGGUUGGAAAGUUUCGGCGGUUGGGGAUGGACUCGCGGCUUAUCAGCUUGUUGGUGGGGUAGUGGCUUACCAAGUCUUUGACGGGUAGCCGGACUGAGAGGGGGACCGGCCUCAAUGGGAAUGAGAUACGGCCCAGACGGCUACGGGAGGAAGCAGUGGGGAAUAUUGCACAAUGGGCGGAAGCCUGAUGUAUUUUUUUU
rnacentral:rRNA from 1 species